UACAGAGGGUGCAAGCGUUGUUCGGAAUUACUGGGCGUAAAGCGCGUGUAGGCUGCAAUGUAAGUCGGAUGUGAAAGCCCUUGGCUCAACCAAGGAAGUGCAUCCGAUACUGCGUCGCUUGAGUGUCGGAGGGGUCGGCGGAAUUCCCGGUGUAGAGGUGAAAUUCGUAGAUAUCGGGAGGAACACCUGUGGCGAAGGCGGCCGACUGGACGAUCACUGACGCUGAGACGCGAAAGCGUGGGUAGCAAACAGG
rnacentral:rRNA from 1 species